rnacentral:rRNA from 1 species
UACGGAGGAUGCAAGCGUUAUCCGGAAUGAUUGGGCGCAAAGCGUCCGCAGGUGGCAAUGUAAGUCUGCUGUUAAAGAGUCUAGCUCAACUAGAUAAAAGCAGUGGAAACUACAUAGCUAGAGUACGUUCGGGGCAGAGGGAAUUCCUGGUGUAGCGGUGAAAUGCGUAGAGAUCAGGAAGAACACCAGUGGCGAAGGCGCUCUGCUAGGCCGUAACUGACACUGAGGGACGAAAGCUAGGGGAGCGAAUGGG